rnacentral:tRNA from 1 species
AGUUAAUUAGCUUAACGUAAAGCAUAUGUUUUGAAAGCAUUACAAAGAAGUUAAAUUCUUCUAUUAACUU